rnacentral:tRNA from 1 species
GUAGUUGUAGCUCAGUGGUAGAGCACUUGCUUAGCAUGUGUGAGGCACUGGGUUCGAUCCUCAGCACCACA